rnacentral:sRNA from 1 species
AAUAUAGGCAGGGAAAAACAGGAACCCAGACCUUUGUUGUACUUACACUGUGAAAUUUUAUGAUGGAGUAGUUCAGACUGUCAAACAUAUUCAUGUCAAAGCUUUUUCCAAAGAUCAGCUGUGGAUUCAAACUCUCAAACUUUGCAACCAAUAACAUUGGAACUGAGAAGAAGGAAAAUAUCAAAAGGAUGUGAAGUCCCAUUAAAACGUCCUCGGCUUGACAAAAAUUCAUGUCAAUUGAAGUCUACUUUGGAAGCUGGCCAGGUCUCAUCUGCACUAACUUGCCACUCCUUUGGGGAUGGAUCCGGGGCUGCAGGCUUGGAGUUGAACUGCCCAUCAAUGGGAGAAAACACGAUGAAAACGGAACCGACUUCUCCCCUUGUGGAAUUACAAGAGAUUUCGACUGUGGAAGUAACAAAUACUUUUAAGAAAACAGAUGAUUUUGGGUCAUCUAAUGCACCAGCUGUCGACCUAGACCAUAAGUUUAGAUGCAAGGUUGUGGACUGUUUAAAAUUUUUCCGCAAAGCCAAACUGUUGCACUAUCACAUGAAGUAUUUCCAUGGAAUGG